rnacentral:rRNA from 1 species
UGAGAACAUCUUGCGGAAGCUUUUGCCAAGGAUACUUUCAUUGAUCAAGAACGAAAGUUGGGGGCUCGAAGACGAUUAGAUACCGUCGUAGUCUCAACCAUAAACGAUGCCGACUAGGGAUUGGCAGAUGUUCCUUUGAUGACUCUGCCAGCACCUUAUGAGAAAUCAAAGUUUUUGGGUUCCGGGGGGAGUAUGGUCGCAAGGCUGAAACUUAAAGGAAUUGACGGAAGGGCACCACCAGGCGUGGAGCCUGCGGCUUAAUUUGACUCAACACGGGGAAACUUACCAGGUCCAGACACGGGAAGGAUUGACAGAUUGACA